GCAGACUUAGGAUAUAAUAAACCGGGGGCCUUCAAAGCCCCAAAAAAGAAAUAAACAUCUUAGUCUCCA
rnacentral:tRNA from 1 species